UACAGAGGGUGCAAGCGUUGUUCGGAAUUAUUGGGCGUAAAGGGCGCGUAGGCGGUGCGGUAAGUCUGUAGUGAAAUCUCUGGGCUCAACUCAGAGUCUGCUGCAGGAAACUGCCGUGCUUGAGUGUGGGAGAGGUGAGUGGAAUUCCCGGUCGUAGCGGUGAAAUGCGUAGAUAUCGGGAGGAACACCUGUGGCGAAAGCGGCUCACUGGACCACAACUGACGCUGAGGCGCGAA
rnacentral:rRNA from 1 species